rnacentral:pre_miRNA from 12 species
GGACGCCGUGGAUGUAUGGGUGUGUAGGGUCGGAAAUUUUGCACACAUUUACAAUAAUUGUAAAUGUGUUGAAAAUCGUUUGCACGACUGUGA